GAAGGCAUAGCUCAGUGGUAGAGUGCAUGCUUAGCAUGCAUGAAUUCCUGGGUUCAAUCCCCAAUACCUCUA
rnacentral:tRNA from 1 species